rnacentral:lncRNA from 10 species
GGCCCAGGCCUCGUAGGAGACACCACAUGCUUCUAUCUAGUCCAAGUCCUCUGAUCCACGGAGGGGAAUGAGAUGACUCACUUCUCCCUAAAACAGGAAGAGGGGCUUUAAAAAUCUUAACUCCGCAUAUCCAGGGUAUGCUCACCAACGGCCUGCCGGGACAGGGUGCAGCAGGCCCAGCCUGAUGUGGCUGCUCAAAGGAACUAGGAGGAGGAAGUGAGGGACACACAGGAAUUUCAGAACUGUUUUGUAUGUGCCAGGAUGGACAGGCACAGGCCAGGGGAUGGGGCAGCAGAAAGGCCCCUCCCCCAACUGAGGGGUAAAAUGCUUCCCUGUGCCCUGUGUAUGAACCUGGAGACUGGGCUGGAGUCUGCCUGCUGGAAGGCAGGGGGGCAAAGGGCUUUCCAAGGGAGAAAGAAAACAGAGUAUUUGUACUCAUCCCUUCAAGACAGUGGGCUCAGCCCCUACCAUGUGCUAGGCACUGUUCCCUGCCCCACCCAGUUCCUGCAGCAAUACACAGAAAGACAUCUGCUCUCAAAACGGAUGGUUUAGGGCCUGGGAAAAGGACAAGACUUAAAUAACUGAAGGAAGAUCAGCAUGAGAGGCACGAGACUGUAGAGCUCAAAGCCUUUGACCCGAGGGGCCAUGGGGAGCACUAGAGGGAUUUGAAGCAGGUUCAAGAUCAGAGCUACACUCUUCAAAGAUCACUCUGUAGAAUGCUAGCGUUUUAACAGAAAAAUGGCAAUAGCUUUGAAAGGGCCCUUUCCUAACAAUGUUCAAAUCAAUCCCAGCAUAGUGCACAGAGGUAGAAAAGAAACAGGAUAUGUCAUGAAAACCUCCAUUGAAAAGAACACCUGAGAACACCCCACCCGUGAGGCUCAGACCAACAAGGCCUGCCCAAGACAGGCUGAAACAAAAGGAAACCCUGAUAAAUCUCACCACCCCUUCCACAAGCCCUGCACCAAGUAACAGCAGCCUACCACUGGAGUGCAGAGGCUCUUUCUCCUCCUCCCGUCCACCGUUGCACAGGCAUAGGAGACAGAGGUGGCGGGGCCUCCUGAAUGGUAUGUCUGAGGCUGCUGGAACACUGAGAAGAACUCUUCAGAGCUCCAGGCCCCACACCACUCCCCACCAGACUGACAACACUCCACACUAACAACCCAACAGAAUGAAAGACAGGUCCUUUGCUAGGUAUACUGUUUACCUCAGUCUCCACUAUCCCAUUACACACAAGGUCUAGCAUUCAAUAAAAAAUUAGGAUACAUACCAAAAAGCAAGGCAAAUAAUGACUCCUUAUCAAGAGAUAAAGUAGUCAACAGAAACAGACCAAGGAGUAAUGCACCCAGAUGUUAGAACCCAUCAAACAGGGACUUUAACCAAGGUGAGCAUUAUAAAAGAUAUAGUUGAAAAGGUGGACAGAUAGGAAACUUCAGCCAAACAAUGAAAACUAUAGAAAAAAACAUAAAUGCAAGAAAAAAAUACAAUGUUAGAGAAGAACAAUUUUUAAUUGGAUAUAGCACAGAAAAGAAUCUGGAAAUAUAAAGAGGGGAAGAGAGAAAAAACAACCAACAACUCUGGGACAAUAUCAAACUAAAGUACAGAUAACUGGAGUCUGAGGGGGAAAUAGUGGGGAAGGAGGGCAAGGCGGAAAGAAGAGACAGAGAACAAGGGAGGAGAAAUAUUUGAAGAGAUAAUUGCUGAGACUUUCCCAAACGUAGUGCAAGACAAAACACUAUGGAUUCAAGAAGCUUAGAGCAUCCCAAGCAGGAUUAGUACAAAGAAAAACACAUCUAAGUACAUCAUAGUUAAGCUGCUGAAACUUCAAAAUAAAGAGAAAAUCAUCACUGUAGCCAGACAAAAAACAUAUGCAGAGGAAUAAAUAUAACAAUGACAGUAAAAUUCUCAGAAAACAUGCAAUCCAGAAGAUAAUGGAGUGACAACUUUAAAUAUUGAAAGAAAAAAAAACCUCUAGUCCUAGUUUACUGAAAUUGAAAAAUUAUACCCAGGGAAUACAUCUUUAAAAAUAAAUUAGAUGAUAAUUUAGAUGAAAUGGACUAAUUCCUUGAAAGAUACAAGCUGCCAAAACUCACACAAGCAGAAAGACACUCCAGAUAAGCCUAUAUCUAUUAAAGAAAUUGAAUCAAUAAUUGAUAACCUUCCAAAACAGCACCAAGCUUGACUAAGCUCACUGGUGAUUUCUAUCAACCAUUUAAGGAAGAAAUUAUACCAGUACUCUACAGUCUCUUCUAGAAGAUAGAAACAGACGAUUACUUCCUGACUCAUUCUGUGAGGCUAACAUCACCCUAAUAACAAAACCAGACAAAGACAUUACAAUAAAAAAAAAAAACCACUACAGACCAAUAUCUUUCAUGAACAUAGAUAAAAACACUCAACAAAAAUACUAGAAAAUUGAAUCAAAGUAUGUAUAGAAAGAAUUAUAUACCACAACCAAGUGGGCUUUAUCUCAAGUAUGCAAGACUGGUUCAACAUUCAAAAAUAAUCAACAGGCUGAAAAAGAAAACUCACAUGAUCAUAUUAACAGAUGCAGAAAAAGCAUUUGACAAAAUUUAACAUCCAUUAAAUGAUAGAAACUCUCAGUAAACCAAGAGUAGAAGGAAACUUCCCCAACUUGGUAAAGAAUAUCUACAAAAACCCUACAACUAACAUCAUACCUGACGGUAAAAAAUUCAAAGCUUUCUCACUAACCAGGAACGAAGCAAGGAUGUCCCUUUGAACCACUCCUUUUUAGUAUUGUACUGGAAGUCCUAUCUAAUGCAGUAAGACAAGAAAAGGAAAAGGUACAGAUUGGGAAGGAAGAAAUGAAACUUCGUUUGCUAAUGACAUGAUUGUCCAUAUAGAAAAUCUAAAAGAAUCAACAAAAAUUCCUGGAACUAAUAAGCAAUUAUAGCAAGGUUUCAGGAUAUAAGGUUAAUAUAUAAAAGCCAAUUGCUUGCCUAUAUACCAGCAACAAACAAGUGGAAUUUGAAAUUAAAAACACAAUAUCAUUUAAAUUAGCACCCCAGGCUGGGUGCAGUGGCCCAUAUAACCCCAACACUUUGGGAGGCUAAGGUCAGAGGAUCAUUUGAGGCCAGGAGUUUGAGACCAGCCUGGGCAACAUAGAAAUACCCCAUCUGAUAUGGUUUGGAUUUGUGCCUCCACCCAAAUCUCUUGUCGAAUUGUAAUCACCAAUGUUGGAAGAGGUGACUGGAUUAUAGGGGCAGGCUUCCCUCUUGCUGUUCUCAUGAUAGUGAAUUAUGAGAUCUGGUUGUUUAUAAGCGUGUGGCACCUCCCCUCCUCUCUCUCUUCCUACUGCUCCAGCCAUGUAAGACAUGCCUGCUUCCCCUUCACCUUCUGCCAUGAUUGUAAGUUUCCUGAGGCCUCCCAAGCCAUGUUUCCUGUAAAGCCUGUGGAACCAUGAGCCAAUUAAACCUCUUUUCUUAUAAAUUACCUAGUCUCAGGUAGUUCUUUAUAGCAAUGAGAGAAAAGACUAAAUAUACCAUCUCUAAAAAAAAAUAACUAGUAAAAAAUAAAGUAACUGGGUGUGGUGGUGCAUACCUGUAGUCCUAGCUUGAGGCUGCAGAGAGGUAUGAUUGAGCCACUGCACUCCAGCCUGGACUACUGCACCUCAGCCUAAGUGACAGCAAGACCCUGCCCCUAAAUAAAUAAAUAAGCAUCACAAAGAAAUACUUAGGUAUAAAUCUAACAAAAUAUGUGCAAGAUCUAUAUGAGGAAAACUAUGAAACCCUGAUGAAAUUUAAAAACUAAAUAAAUGGAGAGAUAUUUCAUGUUCGCAAAUUGGAAGGCUCAAUAUUGUCAAGAUGUCAGUUCUUCUCAACUUCAUCUACAAAUUCAAUGCAGUCCCAGUCAAAACCACAGCAAGUUAUUUUGUAGAUAUUAACAGACUGGUUCAAAGUAUAUAUGGAGAGGCAAAAGACACAGAAUGGCCAACAAAAUACUGAAAGUGAAGCGCAAAAUUGGAGGACUGACACUAACCAACUUCAAGAUUUACUAUAAAGCUACAGUAAUCAAAACAGUGUCAUAUUGGUGAAUAGAUCAAUGGAACAGAACAGAGAGCCCAGAAAUAGACCCAUAUAAAUGUAGCCAACUGAUCUUUGACAAGUCAUCAAAGGCAGCACAAUAGAGCAAGAAAGUCUUUUCAACAAAGGGAGCUGGAAUAACUAGACACACACACACACACACACACACACACACACACACAGAGUAAAUAUAGACAAAGACCUUAUACCCUGCACAAAAAUUAACUCAAAAUGGAUCACAGACCUAAAUGUAAAAUAUAAAACUAUAAAACUCCUAGAAGAUAACACAGGAGAAAGAACCUCUAGAUGACCUUGGGCUUGACGAUGACUUUAUAUAUUAUGACACCAAAGGCACAGUCCAUGAAAGAAAUAAUUGAUAAGCUGGACUUCAAUCAAAUGUGAGUUUUCUACUUUGCUAAAGACACUACCAAGAGAAUUAAUAGACAAGUCACAGACGAGAAGUAAAUCUUUGCAAAAGAUACACCUUAUAAAGGACUACUAUGUAAAUACACAAAUAAAUAUAUUCUUAAAACUCAAUAACAGAUAACCCGAUUAAAGAAUGGCCCAAAGACCUUAACAGACACCUCACUAAAGAAGACAGACAGAUGGCAAAGAUGCAUAUGAGAAGAUCGUCCACAUCAUAUGUCAUCAGGAAAAUGCAAAUUAAAACAAGAGUGAGACACUACUAUACACAUAUUAGAAUGGCCAAAAUCCAGACACUGACAACAUCACAUGCUGACAAGGAUGUGAGGCAACAGGAACUUUCAUUCAUAGCUGGUGGGAGUGCUAAAUGGUACAGCCACUUUGGAAGACAGUUUGGUGAUUUCUUGUAAAAAUCAACACACUCUUACCACAUGAUCCAGCAAUUGUGCUCCUUGGUAUUUACCCAAAGGAACUGAAAACUAUGUCCAAACAAAAACCAGGAAAUAAAUAUUUAUGGCAGUUUUAUUCAUAACUGCCCAAAGCUGGAAGGAACCAAGAUAUCCUUCAGUAGGUGAAUGGAUAAAUAAACUGUGGUACAUCCUGACAAUGGAAUAUCAUUUAGUGCUAAAAAGAAAUGAGCCAGAAAGCCAUGAAAAAACAAGGAGGAAACUUAAAUGCAUAAUUACUAAACGAAAGAAGCCAAUCAGAAAAGGCUACAAACCGUAUGAGUUCAACGAUAUUACAUCCUGAAAAAGGCAAAACUAUGGAGACAGUAAAACGAUCAGUGGUUACCAGGAGUUGGGAGAGGGAUAAACAGGCAGGCCACAAAGGAUUUUUAGGGCGGGGAACUAAUCUGUUUUCUGUACAGUGGUGGAUACAGGUCAUUUUUGUCCAAACCUAUAGAAUGUGCAAUACCAAGAGUGAACCCUAAUGUAAACUAUGGGCUUUAGGUGAUAAUGAUGUGCUAAUAUAGGUUUAUUAUUUGUAAUAAAUGUACCACUUUAGUGCGAGGAUGUUGUUAAUGGGAGGAUUAUGCACGUGUAGGGGCAAAGGUUAUAUGGGAAAUCUCUUCACCCUCCUCUCGAUUUUGCUGUGAGCCUGAAACUGCCUUUUUAAACAGUAUUUUAAAACUAUAAUAGAGCCUGACUCCAUUUUUGAUGUUUGACUACCGAUAGCUUUCAAGCUCCAUCCCUCCCUCUUCCCCUCUUGCCCCACACCUGGGCAAGUGAAUAAAAAAGCUCUGGCAUUCCUGCCUGGAGUAUCAACAGGGAGGUUCAAGUCAUGCAAAUCCAAUUCACGUGUGGGAUUCUCACCUUGACUCCACUCCCUAACUAUAAUAAUAACCAGGAACACUCACCUCUUCCUUCACAGACAAGCCUGGGUGCUUGCCCUCCUCACC